rnacentral:misc_RNA from 1 species
UUCCGUAGGUGAACCUGCGGAAGGAUCAUUACCGAGCUAUGCCCGCAAGGGCAGACCUCCCACCCUUUGUUUACCCUCCGUUUUGUUGCUUUGGCGGGCCGUUCUCACGGCCGUCGGCUCCCCGCUGGUGUGUGCCCGCCGAAGAUCCUCUAACCCUAACCUGUUUCUGUGUUUGUCCGAGUCCUAUAAUAUU